CGCAGCCGCGGUAAUUCCAGCUCCAAUAGCGUAUAUUAAAGUUGUUGCAGUUAAAAAGCUCGUAGUUGAAUUUCGGGGUCAGUAGAUUGGUCGUGCCACUGGUAUGUACUGGUCUCACUGGCUCCUCCUUCCUGAUGAACCGUAAUGCCAUUAAUUUGGUGUUGCGGGGAGACUGGACUGUUACUUUGAAAAAAUUAGAGUGUUUAAAGCAGGCUAACGCUUGAAUACAUUAGCAUGGAAUAAUGAAAUAGGACGUUCGAUCUUAUUUUGUUGGUUUCUAAGAUUGACGUAAUGAUUAAUAGGGAUAGUUGGGGGCAUUAGUAUUCAAUUGUCAGAGGUGAAAUUCUUGGAUUUAU
rnacentral:rRNA from 1 species